UGGACAUUUAUUCUUGUUCAGUUUCUUCUCAAGGUGAAGAUAACUCUUUAUAAAUGUCCUAGAGAAAUAUAGCAGCAUUCUGUUCACCCUUUGCAAGUAAAAAGGGUGGACUGUUCCACUACUGACACUU
rnacentral:snoRNA from 1 species